GAUGAACGCUGGCGGCGUGCUUAACACAUGCAAGUCGAACGAGAAGUGAAGACGGAAACCUUCGGGCGGAAGGCUUUAUUUCGAGUGGCGGACGGGUGAGUAACGCGUGGGUAACCUGCCUCAUACAGGGGGAUAACAGUUGGAAACGACUGUUAAUACCGCAUAAGACCACAGCACCGCAUGGUGCGGGGGUAAAAACUCCGGUGGUAUGAGAUGGACCCGCGUUCGAUUAGCCAGUUGUCGGGGUAACGGCCCACCAAAGCGACGAUCGAUAGCCGAUCUGAGAGGAUGACCGGCCACAUUGGGACUGAGACACGGCCCAAACUCCUACGGGAGGCAGCAGUGGGGAAUAUUGCACAAUGGGGGAAACCCUGAUGCAGCGACGCCGCGUGAGUGAAGAAGUAUUUCGGUAUGUAAAGCUCUAUCAGCAGGGAAGAAAAUGACGGUACCUGAGUAAGAAGCCCCGGCUAACUACGUG
rnacentral:rRNA from 1 species